UGUACGUACAAUGUUGGUUUGACCUGAGGUUUGCAUUCUAGUAAACAUGAUAAUACUUAUUUCACAAAUAAAUAUUAGAAUGUUACAAGACUAUACACC